rnacentral:tRNA from 1 species
GGCAGUGUGGCCAAUUGGUCUAGAGUAGUGGAUUACNGUUUCAGCCUCUUGAGGGAUGUGGGUUUGAAUCCCACCACUGCCA